CAGUAGCCGCGGGAAUACGGAGGAUCCAAGCGUUAUCCGGAUUUAUUGGGUUUAAAGGGUGCGUAGGUGGCCUGUUAAGUCAGGGGUGAAAGACGGUAGCUUAACUAUCGCAGUGCCUUUGAUACUGACGGGCUUGAAUACACUAGAGGUAGGCGGAAUGUGACAAGUAGCGGUGAAAUGCAUAGAUAUGUCACAGAACACCAAUUGCGAAGGCAGCUUACUAUGGUGUCAUUGACACUGAGGCACGAAAGCGUGGGGAUCAAACAGGAUUAGAUACCCCUGUAGUCCCUGUCUCUUAUAA
rnacentral:rRNA from 1 species